AUCAAUUGCUCGUCUUGGGGU
rnacentral:miRNA from 1 species